rnacentral:rRNA from 1 species
GAUGAACGCUGGCGGCGUGCCUAAUACAUGCAAGUCGAGCGAACGGACGAGAAGCUUGCUUCUCUGAUGUUAGCGGCGGACGGGUGAGUAACACGUGGAUAACCUACCUAUAAGACUGGGAUAACUUCGGGAAACCGGAGCUAAUACCGGAUAAUAUUUUGAACCGCAUGGUUCAAAAGUGAAAGACGGUCUUGCUGUCACUUAUAGAUGGAUCCGCGCUGCAUUAGCUAGUUGGUAAGGUAACGGCUUACCAAGGCAACGAUGCAUAGCCGACCUGAGAGGGUGAUCGGUCACACUGGAACUGAGACACGGUCCAGACUCCUACGGGAGGCAGCAGUAGGGAAUCUUCCGCAAAGGGCGAAAGCCUGACGGAGCAACGCCGCGUGAGUGAUGAAGGUCUUCGGAUCGUAAAACUCUGUUAUUAGGGAAGAACAUAUGUGUAAGUAACUGUGCACAUCUUGACGGUACCUAAUCAGAAAGCCACGGCUAACUACGUG